UAGUAAUCGCGGAUCAGAAUGCCGCGGUGAAUACGUUCCCGGGUCUUGUACACACCGCCCGUCACACCAUGGGAGUCGGAAAUGCCCGAAGUCCGUAGCCUAACCGCAAGGGGGGCGCGGCCGGAGGUGGGUUCGAUAAUUGGGGUGAAGUCGUAACAAGGUACC
rnacentral:rRNA from 1 species